rnacentral:lncRNA from 10 species
GCCUGAGACAGCAGGUUACAAGUCCUGAGACGGUCCUGAUGGAAAGGCCACAUGCAGACACUCAUAAACAUCAGCUGAGCCUAAGUGUCAAGUUUAGGCAGAGGGAAGAAGCUGUAAGGUCUUUUUUUUUUUUUUUUUUUUUUUGAGACAGAGUUUCACUUUGUUGCCCAGGCUGGAGUGCAGUGGCACGGCCUUGGCUCACUGCAACCUCCGCCUCCUGGGUUCAAGCAAUUCUCAUGCCUCAGCCUCCCACGUAGCUGGGAUUACAGGCGCCUGCCACCAUGCCUGGAUGAUUUUUUUUUUUGUAUUUUAGCAGAGAUGGGGUUUCACCAUGUUGCUCAGGCUGGUCUCGAACUCCUGAGCUCAGGCAAUCCGCUCAUCUUGGCCUCCCAAAGUGCUAGGAUUACAGGAGUUAGCCACUGCUCCCGGCCAGCUGUAAGGUCUUGAGAAGACUGCUGGUGAAGGCUGGGAGGACUGAAAAUUGUCACUGGAGCCUGGAGAAAAGGGGACAACUCAGAAGGUGCAACAAGAGUCUGGAGGGUGGAUCCAAGAGCCGCAGAGAAUCAUUCCAGAGAGCAGGACUCGGCCCUCCAGCCAAGGAACUGGCAGCAUGUGGAUUUCAGACUUGCUAUGGUCUUUGGACCCAGAUUGGAACUAUACCAUUGGCUCUCCUGGGUUUCAAGCUUGCUUGCUGACUGCAGAUCUUGGGACUUCUCAGCCUCCAUAAUUAUGGGUCAGUAUACACACACACACACACACACACACACACACACACCCACACACACACACACACACGGAUAUACUACUUCUCUGGAGAACUCUGACUAAUACACCAACUUCUAGCUGAAUGUGGAACAGAAGAAUUGCCCAGCUGAACCCUGCCUAAAUUCCUGAUUCAAAAUCAUAAGGAAGAAUGAAGAAGCCUGAAUCUAUGCUGCAAACUCUGGUUUCCACAAGCCUCGUGAAAGAUGAAGAAAGAAGGCUAAGAAGGCUUCCUCCCAAUGGGAUGAUGGUAAGUCUGAAAUCCCAGUUGAUCUGGUGAGAUAUGAAAAAGGGUGAGAUAAUUGUGCUGAGAAAUCAUCUCAGUUUACAGGCACGCACAUCUUCAACACAAAAUGGAGGCUGAUGAGAGUUCAGUUCAAUGACUGUUUCCAACACUAGAGUGGGGCUAUGAAUUGGCAUCAUCCUAGAGAAAUUUCAAGUGGCUUAAGUGGACUUGAAAACAGUACUGUCCUCUCACUUUUUGUCAUUUAGUUUCUUAGAGUCAGAGAUAAUGUCUAAAAAAGGGCAUUUCUCAUAAUAAUUUGUGACCAGGAGAAUCAAUAAAAAAGGAUUUCCCUUGCCAGGAUUUUCAGAGAGAAAACUAUGCUUACAGUCCACAGAAUGACAAAUAUUCAUUGUGUGAUGCUAAUAAAAGUGUAAGGCAUUUUAAAAUUCAAGGGUAUUUUCUUAUAACCAUCUUCUUCAAAGAACUUUGAUCUCUAGUUACCUUAUAUGAUUGAAAACAAUGACUAAAUGAAAUGCUUGUCUCCUCCAAGAAUGGAAUAUAAAGUAUUUACAUAAAUCGAUAUUGCUGGAAAAAAAUCUGCAGAUUCCUUAUGCUUGGGUUCACAUGAAAUAAGUAACUUUCUUCCCCAAAAAGCCAGCUGUGUGAUUACUAAGAGACCAAGUCACAUGGUUUGGAUCUGUGUCCCCCUCCAAAUCUCAUGCUUAGUUGUAAUCCCCAAUGUUGAAGGUGGGGCCUUGUGGGGAGUGAUUUGGUCAUGGGGAUGGUUUCUCGUGAAUAGCUUAGCACUAUCCCUUCUUGAUAUUGUCCUCAUGAUAGUGAGUGAAUUCGUGUGAGAUCUGGUCAUUUAAAAGUGUGUGGUGGCUGGGCGCCGUGGCUCCCAGCACUUUGGGAGGCUGAGGUGGGUGGAUCACUUGAGGUCAGAAGGUUGAGACCAGCCUGGCCAACAUGGUGAAACCCUGUCUCUACUAAAAAUACAAAAAUUAGCUGGGUAUGGUGGCACAUGCCUGUAAUCCCAGCUACUUGGGAGGCUGAGGCAGGAGAAUUGCUUGAACCUGGGAAGCAGAAGUUGCAGUGAGCUGAUAUUGCACCACUGCACUCCAGCCUGGGUGACAGGCGAGACCCUGUCUCAAAAAAAAAAAAAAUAAAAAAAAAUAAAAAUAACGAACGAACUAACUAAUUAACUAAAUAAAAUAAAAGUGUGUGGCACCUCCCCCUCACACCUCACACUCCCUUGCUCCUGCUCUGGCCAUGUGAUGCACCUGCCCCCUCUUCACCUUCCAUCAUGAUUGUAAGUUUCCUGAGGCCUCCCCAGAAGCUAAGCAGAUGCCAGCAUCAUGCUUCCUGUUCAGCCUGCAGAACCAAGAGUCAAUUAAACUUCUCUUCUUCAUAAAUUACCCAGUCUCAAGUAUUCCUUUAUAACAAUGUGAGAAUGGACUAAUACACAUGGCCUUUUUGGAAAAGCUCUAGAUAUAAAGUCUGAGGCCAGAGGUUUAGAUGUGUGGUACAGAAAAUACACGAGAAAAGAAGUUGGGCCCGAUCCUCUCUCUGUUUCUGAUUUUUAUAAAGAU